rnacentral:rRNA from 1 species
AUUGAACGCUGGCGGCAGGCCUAACACAUGCAAGUCGAACGAGUGGCGGACGGGUGAGUAAUGUCUGGGAAACUGCCUGAUGGAGGGGGAUAACUACUGGAAACUGUAGCUAAUACCGCAUACCAUCAGAUGAGCCCAGAUGGGAUUAGCUUGUUGGUGGGGUAAAGGCUCACCAAGGCGACGAUCCCUAGCUGGUCUGAGAGGAUGGCCAGCCAAACUGGAACGUGGAAAAGGUCCAGACUCCUAAGGGGAGCAGCAGUAGGGAAUCGUCGGGAAUGGACGGAAGCCUGACCGAGCAACGCCGCGUGAGUGAAGAAGGUUUUCGGGUCGUAAAGCUCGUUGUUAGGGAAGACGGUAACUAACCAAGAAGGAACGGCUAACUACGUGCCAGCAGCCGCGGUAAUUC